rnacentral:lncRNA from 10 species
GGCCAGAUAAGAGAAUAAAAGCAGGCUGCCCGAGCCAGCAUUGACAACUCGCGGGGAUUGUUUUCCACACCGUGGAAGCUUUGUUCUUUUCGUUUUUUGCAAUAAAUCUUGUUGCUGCUCGCUUUUUGGGUCCACAUUGCUUUUAUGAGCUGUACCACUCACCGUGAAGAUCUGCAGCUUCACUUCAGAGCCUAGCGAGACCACAAGCUCACUGAGAGGAACAAACAACUCCAGACGCGCUGUCUUAAGAGCUAUAACACUCACCGCGAAGGUGUGCAGUUUCACUCCUGAGCUAGUGAGACUACGAAGCCACUGGAACGAAGAAACUCCAACCACGUUUGAACAUCAGAAGGGGCAGACUCCAGACGCUUCAUCUUAAGAGCUGUAACACUCACUGUGAAGGUCUGCAGCUUCACUCCUGAGCCAGCGAGACCACGAACCGAUCUGAACAUCAGAAGGGACAGACUCCAGAUGCCCCACCUUAAGAGCUGUAAUACUCACUGCAAGGGUCUGCAGCUUCAUUCUUGAAGUCAGACCAAGAACCCAGCAAUUCCCAACACACAGGGACCAGCUUCUUUCCUAACUCACUUAGGCUCUUCGUGCUGCUCUGGCAACUAACACCCUUGGCUGCAGGGGCUUGGACACUACCCUUAGUCACUGACAAUUGUGUGAAGGCUGCUGUCGUUAACUUCACUUGAUCACCUUAGGCUCCUGUGAAGUGGUGAGCAAUUCAAACAAAUUCCUGUCGUCAAAUCAUGAGUCCACCUGUCCCGAGUUGGAAGUCUGAACUCAUGUUCCUGGAUUCCUCCCAUGCAUCUUGGUGCUGGUGUGGGGCCUGAACUCAGCCAAUCCGCAACACCUCCAGGAGUCUUCCUCUUAGAUGCUGAGGCCACGGAGAAGGAAGCAGCACAAAGAAUGAACCCUGGAGAGGGUGCCAGAGGCAGGCGGGUUCCAGCCAUGUGGCGGCACAGCCUUACUGGGAUAGUCUAGCUGUGUCACUCAGAAUCCUGAUUUUGUUUGGAAGGACAGCGUGCCUGGUUCCAGGACUUGAAUCAUUCGUUUGUCCAGCAUCUCCAUGCUGUGUACGCUACCCGCCUGUUAGUCAUUGACACUGUCUGCUCCUGACAUCCACCCAUCAAUAUUGUCAUUGCUCAAUGAUCCAGGAUCACCGAGAGCAGAUGAGCCUCCUGAUGCAUGGUCAGAAGAUGGAGAAAUUGCACUGCAGAGAAAUCUUUAAAAGCAAUUACCUAAUACUGCAGAUUGCUGAACUGUACCCACACCCAAGACUGAGCAUUGGAUCAAUCCAGAAUAUACAUCAGGUGUUCUGCAAUGUCUGCCUAAAACCAUGACUCUGCCUCCUCCAGCUGUUGCUACAUCUCACUAUGGGUUUCCUGUGACAUUUUGAGCAAGUAUGCCUCUGUGACUGGGGUUCUUACACUCCAGAAUGGAUGAGAAGCACCGUAAGUGGCUUUUAAAAUGAAUAUUCCCUGGCCCUUCAGUCGCUCUAUAGGUCAAGAAUCUGAAUUCUCAACCUGUCUAGAAGGUUCUGGUUUUAAUGGUCUGUGGGCUGCACAUUGAGAAACCUGUUCAGCGAGUGCAACAAAGGUUCCACAUGUGAGAAAGGAAGCAUCAGGUCUCUUGAGCCUGUUCUUUAAUCUGUAGGCUGCACCUUCUCUUUAAAUUCUGCUAAUAACACCAUGCGAGAAAACACCCGAGCUUGAAAAGCCCAUGUUCCAACAUAACUGUCCUUCACCACUCUGGAAAAUUAAUGGUUUGUUUCGAUUAUCCCUUUGUUAAACUCCAAAGUCAAAGAGCUCUGAAAGGCAUACGGUUAUUUUAAGUUUCAGGUGAUUUCUGUUGCCAAAUAUUUUAAAAAUUUAAAAUUGCUACGUGACCUCUUAGUAGUACUAUUAGAUUUCCUGACAAUAAAAAUAAGUCUUUUGGUUUCACCAUUUAUAGUUAGUACAGCUAAUAUUAAGUAUAAUUUUAAAAGCCUUUUAUUUUCUCAGAAAGAAAAAAUAAUCAAAAUCUGCUCAGUGUGGUAUUGAAUAAUUAAAAACAAAAGAACAGUAUCUUCACAUUAGUGUUUAAUAUUAAUUGCUUUUUUACCCUUGACACUGGUGCUAAUUAAAUUUUCAUUUUAUUUUCCAUGACUUGUUUAAACAGUUUUUGCAAAUUAUUGCUAAUCAGCCUAAUAAAACUGAAUCACCUAUUAAACAAUUUUGUUUUGAAUUAAAUGGCAUUAAAAUAAUUCUGGCUGCCUUGUGUUAUAAUGUGUUACAAGAAUACCAACCGCUACAGGUAAUAUGCCUUAGCUUUUACACAUGCUUUAAAUAAAUCUACGGAUGUAUUUACCUACAUGCACAAACAUGCAAAGAGGCAGUGUUGGUUAGUUGAAUGGGUUUCCGGCUGGAUUUAUUUCCCGUCUACUGUCUUCUCAAGAGGAAAUCUAAGGCAAAUCUCUUCAACAACCUGAAACUUGGUUUUCAUCAUCAGCAAAAUAAGG